UUGAGCCACCCGUAGCCAACGAAUAAAAGAACGCAAGAAUGGAUCCGACGACAGUGGACUCAGCGACCCCCGCUUAUGGGCCCUCUGGUGUGGUGGUGGAGAUGUCGUCAGUGCAGCGCGCGCCACAGCGCUCCCAGUCUACGCACGCGCCAGCUCCAGCGGACGCCGCUUCGUGUCUUCAGCAGCUCGAUGAGGACGUGGCGCGCGAUGUGCGGGCCGCGCACGUCCGCACGGCGAUUCUCCAGGAGGAGGUGGAUUCCCUCUUGGCGAGAGUUGCCAACGCGCACGACGCAGCAGCCGGAGGCAGAGAGGAUUGCGUAGAUGCUGUGUUGGAGAGGGUGCAGGCAAUUCGACAGGCACGCAACGACUAACGCACUUUAGGCUGCUACAUCCUCACUCGCCAAAGCCAGAGAUAUGUGACAGGAGCAGGAGAUGAGCAUGAUUGCAUAGAGCGCGUGCACACGAGGCGCAAGCACUCGCCUCGCCACCUUUUUUUUUUCGUUUCGAACCGCCCGUCUGCGUGCGUGCAGUUGGGCCGAGGGUCUUGAGCGUGGGGGCGAUGAAAUGCCUGUGUGCAGGUACGACGCUUCUUGUGGAGCGCACACGCAUCCGUGCAUCUACUCUCUGGUGCGCUGUUAACGGUGACCCAAGCAGCGGCACCAUCACAAGGAGCGCGAAAUCGACUGAAGAGAGAGGCGCCGAAUGAAUAAAGGUGGUCGCAGCUUUUUGUGGCUUUUCCUGUUGCCGUACCCUCUGUGCGACGCGCGAGCAGAGGUGACUGCUGACUGUAGUCCCGCCACGAUUUGCGUGGAUAGCAUUUGUUGCGCCGUCUUUAGAGUCUGCGCGUCAGCAGCCCCCCUCCCCCUCUGCGACAGCCUGCCAUCCGAGUAUCUUUUUAGAAGCGGGGUACGCUUCGCUUUCGUUCUAUCCUGCUCUCCCUUGUUGCACCCUCCCUCCCAUGCGCGCGGAUCUGCCCUUUCUCCCUCACACCUACCACCUCUACUUGUGUCCACAUUCCUUUACUGUCUGAUGCGCACCGAUAGCUCUACUACCCCCCCCCUCCCUCGCCCCCCCCCCUGUCUCACUCAAG
rnacentral:misc_RNA from 1 species